rnacentral:lncRNA from 1 species
ACGAAUCCGCGCUCCCCCAGGCUGUCGCGCGAGCUCCCCGGAAGCUCCCACCUGAGCGGCGCAUCCUCAGGGCCUGGGCCUGGCCUCCUUGCCUGUGAGAUGGCACUGUGACGGUGCCCACCUCGUGGGGUGUGUGAGGGCCGAGUGAAAUCGUGCAUUUGCGACCGAAUUCCUCCUGGUCUUACAGAUGACCAAGUCGGCCCACUGCACCACCACGAUACUGACGAAGAAGGCUGUGUGGCAGGUGAACUCCACGAUUUUCCUCUGCUCAUAGGUCUGAAAUGCAGAAGACAGAAGAUGAGCUCUGGCUCUUCACCUGCAUGGCUGGUGGCAGUGUGGCCUCAGUCUUCUGGGGCUUGAGGAGCUCUGACACUGGUCAGGUCAGAGGUGCCCACUCACCCACUGCUGCCCGUAGCUGUCUUCCACAUCGUUGAUCCAGCGGUCAUCCCAGUCCACUCGGAGGCCCAACAGGUGAAUUGGGAGGAAGCCGUUCUCAGCCAGAAUCACAAAGUGAAGUAUACAAAAAUAAAGAUUCCCAUCUGAUAAACAAAUGUUAACUGCUGCCUUGAAGAGUGGUAAUACUGAUUCUGUGAAGCCGGGAUUGGGACACACACUGGAUACUGGUCCUGAGAAUUUCUUUUCCCAACGCCAGCCUCAUGGAUGCUGGGAGCAUAGUGCCAGUGAAUGAAGACACAGCUCACACCUCACUACUAUCGAUCUGUGACUGUUGUGACACUCACCAUGUCAGUGCCCAAGUCAAUGCAGAGGAUGGUGACAGUCCCCAGUGGUAGUGGAAUGUUUGCAAUAAUAAAUAUCAGGAACGGGGUGAUCUCGGGAAUGUUACUGGUUAAGGUAUAAGCAAUGGAUUUCU